rnacentral:rRNA from 1 species
UACGGAGGGUGCGAGCGUUGUCCGGAAUCACUGGGCGUAAAGGGCGCGUAGGCGGCGCGGGCAGUCAACGGUGAAAGCUCGGGGCUCAACCCCGAGUCGGCCGUCGAUACUCCCGUGCUUGAGCACUGUAGAGGCAGGUGGAAUUCCGGGUGUAGCGGUGGAAUGCGUAGAGAUCCGGAAGAACACCGGUGGCGAAGGCGGCCUGCUGGGCAGUAGCUGACGCUGAGGCGCGACAGCGUGGGGAGCAAACAGG